ensembl:lncRNA
CGGGGCUCUUGGACGGGGCCACUUGACUGCGUCAUGAUCUGAGUUGGGACACACUAUUUUAUUCCGCAGCCAUCCAGACAGAAAGUGAGGAGCAGCAAUUUGCCAGUUAUAGCAACAAAGAGAUUGAGGUAGACAGAAGGGUAUACUGUAUCUUUCUAAGCCUUUGAGACCAGAAAAUAGCAUAAGAAAACAUAAGAAAAUAGCAGAUGUCCAUGUGGGAACCCAGCAGAAUUCUGGUGGUCCGUGCGUCCAGGCCUCGGAAGCAGCAUUGUGGAACGGGGUGAGGGGGGUGGCCUGGGUGUUCAGCCUUUCUGUAAACCCCAAAGGGUCAAGUCAAGGAAGCAAG